UCUGGGUAAUAGUUGGUUCGUCCUCAGCAGGUAUCCAGGGGGGAUGAGAAUGGGAUCAUUGGAGAACAUGAUCAAUGGAGCUUCUAGGAGCAAGUAAACAACAGACUGCAGACGCCACCAAAUUCAGGACAAUUUCUUGUAUGCUGAGAGAGAUUAUGAAAAACGAAUGCCUCAGUCUCGCUUUCCACAAGCUUCCUACACACUGUCUAUUUAUCACCGCAGCUGAUAGAGAUAAAAGACGGCCAGAGUGUCUUGUUACUGUGGUGGGGAAACAGAGCUCAUACAUUACCAGACUUGUGUAAAAUGUCUGAACUAAUGGUUAUGUCUAAGGCUGGUAUUGCUUUAACAGGAAAACUACUGUCAUUGGAGUCCCUAUACUGUAUGUAGUCUAGUUUCAGUUUAUGGAGAAAAAGAGGAGCGUUGUAUUACAUCCUAGUCAUAUGAAGAAACAGACCAGUAAAAAUGGGAUUUGGUUCAAUUAUGAUCCUGUGCUGAGUGGUUUAUAAUAACUUCAUACACAUGGAAUCUCAACAAAACAUACACAAACAGAAAAAGAAAUGGCUAGCCCAAUAAACACAUAUUACUCAUCAAGCUUGUUCAAAUGUUAAACUAAAACAUGGGAUGGGCUUAUUAUAGAUCUACAGAAAACAUGAAAAUGUAUAAUUUCAUGCCAAAUGGUUAUGUCAGUUUGCCAGAUGUUUGCAGCUGUAGAGUGGUAGUAGUAACCUGCAGCAAACAUUUGGCAAAAUGGAACAGUUUGUCUCUACUGGCAAACAGUUUUAGCAAACAUUUGGCAUUUAUCUGUCACAACUGCCACAAAUUUUAUUGAACAUACUGGCAAACAAUUUUGUGGCAAACCUGCAGCAACAAUGAACAAUCAAGCGUGGUAGUCAAACUCUCAUUAUGAACCAAGUUUAAUCAAAUAACUUUUACCAUUUUUUUUUUCUUUUUUUUUUUUAUGACACAAAUAUUUCAAUCAAUCAAUCA
ensembl:lncRNA